rnacentral:rRNA from 1 species
UACGUAGGUGGCAAGCGUUGUCCGGAUUUAUUGGGUUUAAAGGGUGCGUAGGCGGUCUUUUAAGUCAGUGCUGAAAUACUCCAGCUUAACUGGAGGGGUGGCAUUGAUACUGGAAGACUUGAGUGCAGUCGAAGUAGGCGGAAUUGACGGUGCAGCGGUGAAAUGCUUAGAUAUCGUCAAGAACACCGAUAGUGAAGACAGCUUACUAGGCUGCAACUGACGCUGAGGCACGAAAGUGUGGGGAUCAAACAGG